AGCUUUGCGCAGUGGCAGUAUCGUAGCCAAUGAGGUUUAUCCGAGGCGCGAUUAUUGCUAAUAGAAAAUACUAAGGAC
ensembl:snRNA U4 U4 spliceosomal RNA